rnacentral:rRNA from 1 species
UACGGAGGGUGCAAGCGUUAUCCGGAAUCACUGGGUUUAAAGGGUGCGUAGGUGGUUUCUUAAGUCAGAGGUGAAAGGCUACGGCUCAACCGUAGUAAGCCUUUGAAACUGAGAAACUUGAGUGCAGGAGAGGAGAGUAGAAUUCCUAGUGUAGCGGUGAAACGCGUAGAUAUUAGGAGGAAUACCAGUUGCGAAGGCGGCUCUCUGGACUGUAACUGACACUGAGGCACGAAAGCGUGGGGAGCAAACAGGAUUAGAUACCCCCGUAGUCCCUGAG